ACCAGCAGUAAAUUCUGGAGGGACUUGUGUGGUGGUCUCCGGUAUCGGAUUGAUUUUUAGCUGAUCAGAAAGAGAGAAAAUGAGUGGAUUGUUACUAAGUUUAGAAGAUGACAGUUUGUGAUUUUCAUGGUGUUCCUUUGCACAUCUGUAACAUAUUGGAGCUUGACAGUCCUGACAGAGAAUGUUUAUAUCCUUAUUUGGAUGAUCUCUGCAUUUCUCCGCAGGUAGUUGCAUUUUGCGUCUUUGAUAAUGAAAUGUGUGUAGAGCGUAACCUGGAUAAAUAAUUUGAUGAAAAUUCCACUGCAGAUACGUGUUAAAAUGUGAAUAUUAAAAAAAAUACCGAUUACAAC